rnacentral:rRNA from 1 species
GAUGAACGCUGGCGGCGUGCCUAAUACAUGCCAGUCGAGCGAACAGACGAGGAGCUUGCUCCUCUGACGUUAGCGGCGGACGGGUGAGUAACACGUGGAUAACCUACCUAUAAGACUGGGAUAACUUCGGGAAACCGGAGCUAAUACCGGAUAAUAUAUUGAACCGCAUGGUUCAAUAGUGAAAGACGGUUUUGCUGUCACUUAUAGAUGGAUCCGCGCCGCAUUAGCUAGUUGGUAAGGUAACGGCUUACCAAGGCAACGAUGCGUAGCCGACCUGAGAGGGUGGUCGGCGACACUGGAACGGAGACACGGUCCAGACUCCUACGGGAGGCAGCAGUAGGGAACCUUCCGCAAUGGGCGAAAGCCUGACGGAGCAACGCCGCGUGAGUGAUGAAGGUCUUCGGAUCGUAAAACUCUGUUAUUAGGGAAGAACAAAUGUGUAAGUAACUAUGCACGUCUUGACGGUACCGAAUCAGAAAGCCACGGCUAACUACGUG